rnacentral:rRNA from 1 species
UACGAGUGCCCCAAGCGUUAUCCGGACUUACUGGGCGUAAAGGGUGUGUAGGUGGUCGUGUUAGUCUCUUGUUAAAUUCUUCGGCUUAACCGGGGACAUGCGAGGGAAACGGCACGACUAGAGGAUACGAGGGGUGAACGGAACUCAUGGAGUAGGGGUGAAAGCCGUUGAUAUCAUGGGGAACACCAAAAGCGAAGGCAGUUCACGGGCGUAUGCCUGACACUGAAACACGAAAGCGGAGGUAGCGAAUGGG